AGGACGAACGCUGGCGGCGUGCUUAACACAUGCAAGUCGAGCGAGGCCCUCUCUUCGGAGAGGUGCCCUAGCGGCGAACGGGUGAGUAACACGUGGGCAACCUGCCCCUAGCACUGGGAUAAGCCCGGGAAACCGGGUCUAAUACCGGAUAUGACCUUCAAGGGCAUCCUCGAAGGUGUAAAGGAUUCUGGCUAGGGAUGGGCCCGCGGCCUAUCAGCUUGUUGGUGGGGUAACGGCCCACCAAGGCAACGACGGGUAGCCGGCCUGAGAGGGCGACCGGCCACACUGGGACUGAGACACGGCCCAGACUCCUACGGGAGGCAGCAGUGGGGAAUAUUGCACAAUGGGCGAAAGCCUGAUGCAGCGACGCCGCGUGAGGGAUGACGGCCUUCGGGUUGUAACCUCUUUCAGCUCCGACGAGCGAAAGUGACGGUAGGAGCAGAAGAAGCACCGGCCAACUACGCGCCAGCAGCCGCGGUAA
rnacentral:rRNA from 1 species